rfam:Lupinus angustifolius cultivar Tanjil contig_4178, whole genome shotgun sequence.
AGGUGCGAUCAUACCAACACUAAUCCGCCGGAUCCCCUCGGAACUCCGCAGUUAAGCAUUCUUGGGUGAGAGUAGUACUAGGAUGGGUGACCUCCUGUUGCACCUC